rnacentral:rRNA from 1 species
GACGAACGCUGGCGGCGUGCUUAACACAUGCAAGUCGAGCGGAAAGGCCCUUCGGGGUACUCGAGCGGCGAACGGGUGAGUAACACGUGAGUAAUCUGCCCUUCGCUCUGGGAUAGCCACCGGAAACGGUGAUUAAUACCGGAUACGACCAAUCCCUGCAUGGGGUGUUGGUGGAAACUUUUUUGGGUGGGGGAUGUGCUCGCGGCCUAUCAGCUUGUUGGUGGGGUAAUGGCCUACCAAGGCUUCGACGGGUAGCCGGCCUGAGAGGGUGACCGGCCACACUGGGACUGAGACACGGCCCAGACUCCUACGGGAGGCAGCAGUGGGGAAUAUUGGACAAUGGGCGGAAGCCUGAUCCAGCAACGCCGCGUGAGGGAUGACGGCCUUCGGGUUGUAAACCUCUUUCAGCACCGACGAAGCGCAAGUGACGGUAGGUGCAGAAGAAGGACCGGCCAACUACGUGCCAGCCGCCGCCGUAAAAC